AUGGCCCAAGAACACGCUCAUUCUUCAGCCGUAGAGAGACUUUUGAAUUGUGAGGCUUUUGAGGAGCGGGAGAAAUUGUUGGAAUUCUAUGAAAGAGUCCCGGGAGCCAGGAUGCAUGCCAGUUUCAUACGACCUGGUGGAGUGGCACAAGAUCUGCCUCUUGGCUUAUGUCGAGAUAUUGAUUCCUCCACACAACAAUUUGCUUCUCGUAUCGACGAAUUAGAAGAUAUGUCAACCGGCAACAUAUCUAGAAACAACGAUUAG
rnacentral:rRNA from 1 species